rnacentral:rRNA from 1 species
CCUACGGGUGGCAGCAGUGGGGAAUAUUGGACAAUGGGGGGAACCCUGAUCCAGCAAUGCCGCGUGUGUGAAGAAGGCCUUCGGGUUGUAAAGCACUUUCAGUAGGGAGGAAAGGUGCGUAGUUAAUACCUGCGCAAUUGACGUUACCUACAGAAGAAGCACCGGCUAACUCCGUGCCAGCAGCCGCGGUAAUACGGAGGGUGCGAGCGUUAUUCGGAAUUACUGGGCGUAAAGCGCACGCAGGCGGUUGCCCAAGUCAGAUGUGAAAGCCCCGGGCUUAACCUGGGAACUGCAUUUGAAACUGGGCGACUAGAGUAUGAAAGAGGAAAGCGGAAUUUCCAGUGUAGCAGUGAAAUGCGUAGAUAUUGGAAGGAACACCGAUGGCGAAGGCAGCUUUCUGGGUCGAUACUGACGCUCAUGUGCGAAAGCGUGGGGAGCAAACAGGAUUAGAUACCCUAGUAGUC